rnacentral:rRNA from 1 species
UACGGGGGGGGCAAGCGUUGUUCGGAAUUACUGGGCGUAAAGGGCUCGUAGGUGGCCAACUAAGUCAGACGUGAAAUCCCCAGGCUCAACUUGGGAACUGCGUCUGAUACUGGAUGGCUUGAAUUCGGGAGAGGGAUGCAGAAUUCCAGGUGUAGCGGUGAAAUGCGUAGAUAUCGAGAGGAACACCUGCGGCGAAGGCGGGUUGCUGGGCUGACACUGACGCUGAAGCGCGAAAGCUAGGGGAGCGAACGGG